UAGAGGGAAGUAUAAGUGGGUGUGCAAGGAGUUUUGAUCUCUUAGGUGAGGGUUCGAUUCCCCCCCCUCUAA
rnacentral:tRNA from 2 species